AUAAGUGCGGAAGUAAUAAUAAUAAUAAGGUCCCAACAAAAUAACUAGUAGCGAUGUCCCGAUGCUCCAUGUCAAGCCUUAGCCUCUUUAAUCUUAACACCUGAAAAGUUAUAAGGGAAAAACGUAAGCACGAAGCUUAGUGAAUUCAAACACAGACAUUGUACUAACAUUCAUAUUUACUAGCCCUAAUCUAUUUUCCAAUUAUAAUGAUAAAGACAAAGAACGAAUCAAUGUCUAUAUUACGAGAAGGACUUGUAGGUUUGAACCGCACCGGGAAGAUCCCGUAUCAUUUGGCCCUAAUCACCGCACCUCACGAAGAGUAUUACGUUGGUGAUCUUACCUACCCACCGCACCGGUAAAUCCGUAUCCUUUGGUGGUGUCCCCAUAUCCAUAAUUAGUUACAUACAGUGCACAUGUACGAAUUAAAACAAUACUUAUAUAGUAUAAAUUCAAAUAAUCACACACGAGCUAACUAGCAAACACAAUCAUCAAUACAAAGGUGUGAGAGAACUCACCUUGAGUGAGUAUUAAGGAUGGCUAACAAUCAAAUAAUGCUACCAAGCUUGAGCAAACUUCAAAACCUCGCCUAAGAAGGACUAAAGGUUAGAAACGAGAAGUAAUGAAGCUAUGAGUUGAGAAAAGAGUAAUCACAGCAAGGUCUCUAAAACAGACCUGCUGUUCAAAACGGAUUUACUCCAAAAUCUAAAACAGAAACAUAGCUUUAACUAAAUUUUAUAGGAAACUAUGAUUGCUCAGGAUUCCAUAACUAUAAAGAACUCAUUCUAACUCCAAAAGAUGAAUUAAAUAUGAAUUUUACAAAAUGGUGUAUCACUUCUGUCUCCAACAAUACAGUCAAGUGAUGUUGGCCAAUUCUACCCAACUUGUGAGUAGAAUUCGUCCAAAAGAAAAUUAAGAGAAGUAAAGGACAUACAAGUGAAAGUCUCAGAGUUGGAAUUGAAUGAAAAGCAUCUCUCAAACUCCAGAUAUAAAAUUCACAUUGUGGACAAUCACAGCACUAGCAAAAGCUGGUGACUGCCCACUGACCUGGAGUGUGGAUCCAUUCUAACCAAUUUAUAAUUGGAAAUAACACCCCAUAUUCUCCAGAUCUUAAAUUCAUAAUAUAAGGAACAUAUAGAAACUUGGAAUCACUCUGGAUCCUUUUCCAAGCCUUAGAAAUGAUGAAAACAAAAUGACAUAUCAGAACAGACCCGGAUCAGACCUAACAGCAAAGAUGCCAUUCUUUCACAUAGAUAAAGCCCUUAUCAGUGAGGUUGGCCUUCUUAAGAAAGUUAGCCAACUCAAUUUGUGAACUUUUGGAACUGGUUUGGGGUCCGUUUGAGUUCUAGAGCUCCAGAUAUGAUUUUUACAAAAUGACUACAGAUCUGAUGGAAAACAGAAUCGUAGCCACCCGUGAUUCCUUUUUGGCUUAUCCAUCCUUCUCCUUUUGAAACACAUUUUAAGAUGUGUUCAUCAUCCCAAUUCAGUCCCCAUGAUAAUGGUGGUACUAAAAAGGGUUAGGGAUCAUUAGGAUUUCAUUUAGCCACAAGGAUGUAAUAAUAAUCAACAUGAAAAUAAACAUAAGCACAUAAAAUCAUCAUUCUCCCUUUUAGGGUUUCCAUGAUCUUUUGCCACAUGUAAUCCCCUAGAUCCAUCAUCCACCAUAUAUGGGGUGAAGAUAGGAUCUUGAGAUGAUGUAUAACAUACAAUUACAAAUAAAAUAAGAAGGAGAAGAGGUGAAGAUGAAAUCAUAAAACUAGAACAAGGUUAUGAAUCAAGUUGUAAGAAAGGAUAAGGAGGUUCAUACCAAUACGAAUCAAGGCUGGAAAUGAACAAGAAUUAAGCUCCAAACAGCCCCUUGGCUGCUCUUGAUCCCAAAGAGAGAGAGAGGGACGAUUUUUGAGAGAGAGGGAGGGUUUAGAGUGUUUUCCUUGUGUGUGUUCCAAAUGAUUCAAUUUACACAUUAAGUACUAUUAACUAGAUGGACUUUGCAAAUAGGCCCAUAGCCCAUGGACUUCAAUAAAAGGAGUUUACAAGAUGAUCAAAAGAGUCCAAUAACAUAAGAAAUCAGACAUUGGUUAAAUAAAUUAACCCAAGGUUACAAGGAUAAUUAAAUUAAAAUAACCAAACGUACCGAGAAAACCCGGGGCGUUACAACUCUCCCCCACUAAGAACGGACUUCGUCCUCGAAGUCAACACCUAGAAACAGAUCCGGAUAAUGAGUCCGCAUCUCGCAUUCCGGUUCCCAAGUCCAUUCCGAACCCUUCCUAUGUUGCCAUUGCACCUUAACCAGGUUUAUAGUCUUGUUGCGGAGAGCUUUCGUCUUUCGUUCUAAAAUAGCGAUUGGUUUCUCAACAUAAUUGAGACGCUCGUCAAUUUGUAUGUCCUCCAGUGGUAUCACAGCGGUCUCAUCAACAACGCAUUUUCGUAACUGAGACACGUGGAACGUAUUAUGAAUUAGACUAAGCUCGUCAGGAAGCUCUAAACGGUAAGCCACCUUCCCCACACGAGCUAUGACCUUGUAGGGUCCAAUGAAUCGGGGUCCGAGCUUUCCCCGCUUCCGAAAUCGAAUCACACCUUUCCAGGGGGAGACUUUAAGCAACACAUAAUCUCCCACCUGGAACUCAAGAUUGGAGCGUCUUUUGUCGGCAUAACUUUUCUGACGACUGCUCGCUGUGACCAAAUGAUCCCGAAUCACUUGGAUUUUCUCCGUAGUCUGUAGCACGAUAUCGGUACUCCCAAGUACCCUCUGCCCAACCUCGCCCCAACAAACGGGCGUCCUGCACUUCCUCCCGUACAAGGCUUCAUACGGAGGCAUUUUAAUGCUCGAGUGAUAGCUGUUGUUAUAAGAAAACUCAGCUAGAUGUAGAUGGUCAUCCCAACUACCCCCAAAAUCAAUCGCACACGCCCUAAGCAUGUCCUCCAAGGUCUGAAUCGUCCGCUCACUCUGCCCGUCUGUCUGCGGAUGGAAGGCGGUACUAAAAUGUAAUCGUGUGCCCAAUUCCUCUUGAAACUUCCUCCAGAACCGAGAGGUAAAUCGGGUGUCUCGAUCGGAGAUGAUAGAAACGGGCACCCCAUGUAAUGAGACAAUCUCCCGAACAAAGAUCUCGGCUAAUUUCUCCGCCGAUGAGCUCUCCUUUAUAGCCAGAAAGUGAGCACUCUUAGUCAAACGAUCAACAAUCACCCAUAUCGUAUCUGAUCCUCGGGCAGUUCUAGGAAGUUUUGUAAUGAAGUCCAUGGUUAGAUGCUCCCAUUUCCAUUCAGGAAUCUCCAAUGGUUGCAACUUCCCAUGCGGUUUCUGGUGUUCCGCCUUGACCUUCCGACAGGUCAUACAUUCUUCCACAAAUCGAGCCACAUCAUUCUUCAUUCCAUGCCACCAGUAAGCCUCAUGAAGGUCCCGAUACAUUUUAGUAGCACCAGGAUGGAUAGAAAAUUUUGACUUAUGAGACUCAUCCAUUAGGGUUUUCCGAUUUCCCCCGGUAUAUGGAACCCAAACCCUACCGUAGCGAGUCAGCAAACCACGCCCGUCUCGUUCCAUCUUAGGCAACUCUUUCCCAAUCUUCUCACGCCUGAUGUUUUCCUCCAGUAUUGCCGUCUUUUGGGCGUCCCGGAUUAGAUCUAACAAAGACGACACCAUCGUGAUCCGGAGACACUUAGCUCGAAUUGGUUCGGCAGAUUGUUUACGACUAAGAGCAUCAGCUACCACAUUAGCUUUACCGGGGUGGUAGUGAAUUUCACAAUCAUAAUCUUUUACCACAUCCAACCAUCGGAUCUGCCUCAUAUUCAAAUCCCGCUGCUCGAACAAAUAUUUUAGACUCUUAUGGUCAGUGUAUAUGAUAAACUUCACUCCAUAGAGAUAGUGUCUCCAAAUCUUAAGAGCGAAAACAACAGCCCCAAGCUCCAAAUCAUGAGUGGGGUAGUUUCGUUCGUGGGGUUUCAGCUGUCGGGAGGCAUAGGCUAUCACCCUAUCUCGUUGCAUUAACACGGCACCAAGACCUUGAAGCGAUGCAUCACAGUAAACCACCAUAUCCUCAACCCCAUCAGGUAAGGCCAAAAUCGGAGCUUCACACAAUCGUUUCCUUAACUCAUCAAACGCCAGUUGCUGCUCCGGGCCCCAAACGAAUUUCAUUGAUUUCUUGGUCAAUCGGGUGAGUGGUAAGGCGAUUUUAGAGAAAUUUUCAAUGAACCUCCGGUAAUAACCGGCUAAACCCAAGAAACUGCGAAUUUCAGAAGGUGUUUUCGGAAUCUUCCAUUGUUUAACCGCAUCAACCUUGGCUUGAUCGACCUUGAUACCUUGUUUGUUUACCACAUGCCCCAAGAACUGAACUUCUUCCAACCAAAAUUCACAUUUUGAAAAUUUAGCAUAAAGCCUUUCUCUUGCCAGAGUUUCCAGAAUCUCCCGAAGGUGUUGCUGAUGCUCCUCUUUGCUCUUAGAAUAGACUAAGAUAUCAUCUAUGAACACUAUGACCGAACGGUCAAGCAUCAGGCUACACACCCGGUUCAUGAGAUCCAUGAACGCUGCGGGUGCAUUGGUGAGCCCAAAAGGCAUCACCACGAAUUCAAAGUGCCCAUAUCGAGUACGGAAUGCUGUUUUCUCAAUGUCUUCUUCACGAACACGCAUCUGAUGGUAACCGGAACGUAAAUCAAUCUUGGAAAACCAAGAUGCUCCCUGAAGCUGAUCGAAAAGAUCGUCAAUACGUGGCAACGGGUACCUAUUCUUUAUCGUGCGCUUGUUUAGCUCCCUAUAAUCAAUACACAUUCGCUGGGAUCCAUCUUUCUUCUUCACAAAGAGAAUAGGAGCACCCCAAGGCGAGCAGCUUGGCCGUAUAAACCCUUUAUCACUUAGUUCUUGAAGUUGAUCUUGGAGCUCUUUCAUUUCAGGUGGUGCCAAGCGGUAAGGAGAUUUCGCUACCGGAGUCGCACCUGGCACCAAAUCAAUGCGAAACUCCACUUGCCGAACAGGUGGCAAGCCAGGGAGUUCCUCCGGAAAGACAUCGCUGAAGUCGGAAACGAUAGGAACGUCGUCUAGUGCUAUAGCAGAAGAGCAAGAAGCCAUAGCCAGGCGGGGAAUGUCCCCCUGAAUAAUAAGUUCUCCACCUCUAGGGUUUCGAACACGAACUUGCUUCUUACGACAGUGGAUUUCCGCAUCAAACGCAUCAAGCCAAUCCAUGCCUACGAUAACGCAGAGCUCUCGCAUCGCAAUAGGGAUAAGAUCAAUAGGGAAUUCAACUCCAGAAAACUCGAGAGUGCAACCCCGAUAAACAUCGGUGACAUAAAUAGUGCGGUUGUCGGCAACUUCGACAACCAUUAGGCGAGCCAAUUUUCCGAUACUAUGCCCCAAACGAUUAAUAAACGUGCGGGAUACAAAAGAAUGGGUAGCACCACUAUCAAACAUAACAACAGCGGGCUCGGAAUCUAGCAAAUAAGUGCCUGAUUCACCACAUACAAUCAUGUAAACAGUUCUAACUACCAUUUAUUAAAUAAUUCCAGGAGAGAAAAAAAAAAAAAAGAAAUUUACCUGCCACUGUCGCGGUAAUCACCGGCUCAUCCGCAGUCAUCUGGUGAGCACGACCUCGUGUCACCAUAGUGGGUCCCUUAGAAGACGAUGCAAUUGCAGGAUUUGUACCCCCGCUUCCUUUACCAGCCUUCAACUUCGGACAUUCGGGCUUCUUGUGUCCCGUCUCGUUGCAGUGAUAGCAGACGGGAGCAGCAGAAGUAAUCUGAGGAACUGCACUCGCAGGGGGAGCCCUACAAUUCUUCCAAUGAUGCCCUGGCUUUUUACAGUUGUAGCAUAUCAACGGAUUUUUCUCGCCCUGACUUGAAGACGGCCUGUACUCAUACCUUGACUUACCACCCUGCUUUUGCUUUUUCUGGGCAUCUCCGGAUGUCUUGGAGGAGGUGUCAUUGGCCUUCCUCUUGGUCUGGGUCUGCAACUCGAUUUCCCUCCUCCUCGCUGCAUCCAUGAUCGCGGAUAAAGUCGGGAACUCCUGCAUGCUAACGAAUUCCCGAAUCUCGGUACGUAGAAUGGUAGUGUAUUGGCUGACCAACCAGGCCUCAUUCCCAGCAAAUGAGGGACAAAAAGAUAGCAUCUCCAAGAACUUGGCGUUCAAGUCGCUAACAGACUCGGUAGUUUGCUGUAAGGCCAUGAACUCUUGCUGCAUCCGCUGCUGCUCCACCUUGGGCACAUAUUGUGCCUCGAACCUCUCCACAAAUUGGGCCCAAGACAUGGCCCUCACUUCUUCCUCGUUUAAUAGAGCGGUGAUGGUGUUCCACCAUGUCUUUCCCCUUUUUCGCAGCUGAUUCAUGGCGAUCACAACUUUGUACUGGUCCGGACACCCAACAGUCAUGAAGGCGCCCUCAACAUCUGACACCCAAUGCUUAGCAGCAACUGGGUCGGAUUCACCAUUCCAAAGAGGAGGGCUACACUUGUUGAACUUCUCGAAGUAGUAUGCCGAAUCCCGAACGGGCGGAGCCGAUAACGCUCCCCCGGGAAUAGCUGCGAGGCGCUCAUCCAGAAGAGCUUUGACCUGGUUGAUUAUGUCAUUGGUCACGCCCGGGAUUAGUUCAUUGAAAGCGUUAUUGAAUUCCUCAGCGACAAUAUUCCUAACUUGCUCCAUUUGGAGCUGAUUAAGGCGAGCAGGCGGAGCCAUCUGUAUCCGUAGAAGGAGGAAAAUAUUUAGAAAUAAUUCAGCCUAGAUAUUUCUAGGAAGACGAAACACUCAGCUUGCCGAAAAUUUCUCAACCUUGCCCCGACCCGAAACCGGCACCGAUGUUUCAAAUAGUAGGGGCCCUUCUACUAUCUUCCACACAAGUUCCAAUUUCGCAAUCGCGUCUAGUUUCAAAAUUUCCAGCUCGCUCUAGCCGUUAAUUUUACAUCUCUCUCACAUGUUAACAUUAAAUAAGUGUGUAAUCUAGCAUUUUAAGACUAGUAGAAUCCAAUUCAUAGUCAACAAUUUAACAUAAACAUUUAACAUAAGAAAUAAGGCUUACUUGGCUGGCCGACUGGCACACCGCGACAUCUUUCACUACUAGUCUUCAGAAAAUUUGAAAAAUCUUUUAAAAAGAGAAUAAACUAUUAUAGAGCCUCAAAUUUGAGUCUAGAACAUCCACAAGAAUGCCUAGUUCCCUCAAACUGUGGCUCUGAUACCAACUUGUGACACCCAAUUUUUUUUUUGCAAAAAUUUUAAACUUUUAAAACCCAUCUUAAAUUAAAUUAAAACAACUGAAAUAGUCAUAACAUAAUCCAUCAACUUAAUAAUCAUAUAAAAUAAGUGCGGAAGUAAUAAUAAUAAUAAGGUCCCAACAAAAUAACUAGUAGCGAUGUCCCGAUGCUCCAUGUCAAGCCUUAGCCUCUUUAAUCUUAACACCUGAAAAGUUAUAAGGGAAAAACGUAAGCACGAAGCUUAGUGAAUUCAAACACAGACAUUGUACUAACAUUCAUAUUUACUAGCCCUAAUCCAUUUUCCAAUUAUAAUGAUAAAGACAAAGAACGAAUCAAUGUCUAUAUUACGAGAAGGACUUGUAGGUUUGAACCGCACCGGGAAGAUCCCGUAUCAUUUGGCCCUAAUCACCGCACCUCACGAAGAGUAUUACGUUGGUGAUCUUACCUACCCACCGCACCGGUAAAUCCGUAUCCUUUGGUGGUGUCCCCAUAUCCAUAAUUAGUUACAUACAGUGCACAUGUACGAAUUAAAACAAUACUUAUAUAGCAUGCUUUUAUAAUAAAUUCAAAUAAUCACACACGAGCUAACUAGCAAACACAAUCAUCAAUACAACGGUGUGAGAGAACUCACCUUGAGUGAGUAUUAAGGAUGGCUAACAAUCAAAUAAUGCUACCAAGCUUGAGCAAACUUCAAAACCUCGCCUAAGAAGGACUAAAGGUUAGAAACGAGAAGUAAUGAAGCUAUGAGUUGAGAAAAGAGUAAUCACAGCAAGGUCUCUAAAACAGACCUGCUGUUCAAAACGGAUUUACUCCAAAAUCUAAAACAGAAACAUAGCUUUAACUAAAUUUUAUAGGAAACUAUGAUUGCUCAGGAUUCCAUAACUAUAAAGAACUCAUUCUAACUCCAAAAGAUGAAUUAAAUAUGAAUUUUACAAAAUGGUGUAUCACUUCUGUCUCCAACAAUACAGUCAAGUGAUGUUGGCCAAUUCUACCCAACUUGUGAGUAGAAUUCGUCCAA
rnacentral:lncRNA from 1 species